rnacentral:rRNA from 1 species
UGAUGACGAGACGCUAAGGCGUUGAAGCAGUGUAUGUCAGACUUCCAAGAAAAGCUCGCAAUGUCAUAAAUGAAAAAUGCCUGUACCAUAACCGACACAGGUGGGUAGGUAGAGUAUACUAAGGGGCGCGAGAUAACUCUCUCUAAGGAACUCGGCAAAAUGACUCCGUAACUUCGGGAGAAGGAGUGCCUUAUUUAUAAGGUUGCAAUAACAAGAUCCAAGCAACUGUUUAUCAAAAACACAGGUCUCCGCUAAGUCGUAAGACGAUGUAUGGGGGCUGACGCCUGCCCAGUGCCAGAAGGUUAAAGAAGUUGGUUAGUGUAUGCGAAGCUGAUGACUGAAGCCCUGGUGAACGGCGGCCGUAACAAUAACGGUCCUAAGGUAGCGAAAUUCCUUGUCGGGUAAGUUCCGACCCGCACGAAAGGCGUAAUGAUUUGGAUACUGUCUCGGAGAGAGGCUCGGUGAAAUAGACUUGUCUGUGAAGAUGCGGACUACCUGCACCAGGACAGAAAGACCCUAUGAAGCUUUACUGUAACUUGAAAUUGGAAUUGGACUUUGCUUGCGCAGUAUAGGUGGGAAGCGUUGAAGAUAUUCUUGCGGGAGUAUUGGAGCUAUCAGUGAGAUACCACUCUUGUAAUGUUAGAUUUCUAACUUUGAACCAUAAUCUGGUCAAAGAACAGUUUCAGGUGGGCAGUUUGACUGGGGCGGUCGCCUCCCAAAUGGUAACGGAGGCGUACAAAGGUUUCCUCUGAACGGAUAGAAAUCGUAUCUAGAGUGUAAAGGCAUAAGGAAGCUUGACUGUGAGACCUACAAGUCGAGCAGGGACGAAAGUCGGUCUUAGUGAUCUGACGGUACUGAGUGGAAAGGCCGUCACUCAACGGAUAAAAGUUACUCUAAGGAUAACAGGCUGGUCUCCCCCAAGAGUUCACAUCGACGGGGAGGUUUGGCACCUCGAUGUCGGCUCAUCGCAUCCUGGGGCGGUAGUACGUCCCAAGGGUUGGGCUGUUCGCCCAUGAAAGCGGUACGCGAGCUGGGUUCAGAACGUCGUGAGACAGUUCGGUCCAUAUCCGGUGUAGGCGCUAGAAUAUUGAGAGGAGCCUUCUUUAGUACGAGAGGACCGAGAAGGACACACCGCUGGUGUACCAGUUAUCGUGCCAACGGUAAACGCUGGGUAGCUAUGUGUGGAGUGGAUAACCGCUGAAAGCAUCUAAGUGGGAAGCCCACCUCAAGAUGAGUAUUCCC